GGAAGUUGCUGACCUUUAUCAAUAUGUAAUUCAAGUUGCUGAAGGCCGAGAUCUGCAUGUUAAGGCAAACCAUGUGUUUAAUCAUGUGACUAAUGUAUUACAGAAGGUUGACCAAAGCAGCCCUUUUGUUACUGUAUACAGUAAUAUACUAAUAAAAACUUUCUUGACAAAUCGGAAACAUUUUUCAGAGUUGACUGCUAAGAUGUGGCAAGAAAUUUUAAUGAUUUAUUGCAAAUUGAUAAUGGAAUACCCCCAAGCAACCUCCCUUGUUCAAUAUGCUCAAGUGUUGCAACAAUUACUUAUGAUAUCACCAAAUAUUUCUUACACUCCAAAUGAUUUUCUUUUGUCUUUCUUUGAAAUGGUUUUCAAAAAAUUUAA
rnacentral:lncRNA from 1 species